CUUUCCCAGAUUGAGCAUCAGCAAUCAGGCAAUCUGCACUAUCCCCUAGAACAGCAAGCAACUUACCAUCUGGACUAACAGAUGUGUUCUGCAAAACACAGUUGGACUUUUGCUUCAUGAGGGAGGGAGGGAGCGGGAGAGUAGGGGAAGUGAGUGC